CCCGCGCUCCCGGACCUGCCCGAGCAGUUCUGCCCUCCGGACGCGGCGCCCCCCAUUCUGCUGAAGCUGGCGGAGGCCUUGGAGCGGACAGAGCUGGACUGCGAAGCCUACUGCCGGCCCGAGCCGCCGGCCCCCCGGACAGACUGGGCGCUGGCCGACCUGGAGCAGUGGGACGCGGCCGCGCUGUGCGACGCCGUCAAGGGCUUCCUGCUGGCCCUGCCCGCACCGCUGGUGACCCCGGUGGCGGCGGCCGAGGCGCACCGGGCCC